GUGGGGAAUUUUGGACAAUGGGCGCAAGCCUGAUCCAGCAAUGCCGCGUGCAGGAAGAAGGCCUUCGGGUUGUAAACUGCUUUUGUACGGAACGAAACGGUCCGGGUUAAUACCCUGGGCUAAUGACGGUACCGUAAGAAUAAGCACCGGCUAACUACGUGCCAGCAGCCGCGGUAAUACGUAGGGUGCAAGCGUUAAUCGGAAUUACUGGGCGUAAAGCGUGCGCAGGCGGUUUUGUAAGACAGGCGUGAAAUCCCCGGGCUCAACCUGGGAAUUGCGCUUGUGACUGCAAGGCUGGAGUGCGGCAGAGGGGGAUGAAAUUCCGCGUGUAGCAGUGAAAUGCGUAGAUAUGCGGAGGAACACCGAUGGCGAAGGCAAUCCCCUGGGCCUGCACUGACGCUCAUGCACGAAAGCGUGGGGAGCAAACAGGAUUAGAUACCCCAGUAGUCC
rnacentral:rRNA from 1 species